rnacentral:rRNA from 1 species
AUGCAGUCGAGGGGCAUCAGGUAUCAGCUUGCUGAUACGCUGGCGACCGGCGCACGGGUGAGUAACGCGUAUGCAAUCUGCCUGUAACAGGGGGAUAACCCGGAGAAAUCCGGCCUAAUACCCCAUAAGGAUGUCUGUCCGCAUGGGCGGUCAUCUAAAGGUUUUCCGGUUACAGAUGGGCAUGCGUUCCAUUAGCUGGUUGGCGGGGUAACGGCCCACCAAGGCGACGAUGGAUAGGGGUUCUGAGAGGAAGGUCCCCCACACUGGUACUGAGACACGGACCAGACUCCUACGGGAGGCAGCAGUGAGGAAUAUUGGUCAAUGGGCGUAAGCCUGAACCAGCCAAGUCGCGUGAAGGAAGACAGCCCUACGGGUCGUAAACUUCUUUUGUAUGGGAGUAAAAGAGUCCACGCGUGGGCUAUUGCAAGUACCAUACGAAUAAGCAUCGGCUAACUCCGUGCCAGCAGCCGCGGUAAUACGGAGGAUGCGAGCGUUAUCCGGAUUUAUUGGGUUUAAAGGGUGCGUAGGCGGCCCUAUAAGUCAGCGGUGAAAUGUUCCGGCUCAACCGGGAAACUGCCGUUGAAACUGUAGAGCUAGAGUCCACAAGAGGUAUGCGGAAUGCGUGGUGUAGCGGUGAAAUGCAUAGAUAUCACGCAGAACCCCGAUUGCGAAGGCAGCAUACUGGGGUGAAACAGACGCUGAAGCACGAAAGCGUGGGUAUCGAACAGGAUUAGAUACCCUGGUAGU